rnacentral:rRNA from 1 species
UACGAAGGGGGCUAGCGUUGUUCGGAAUUACUGGGCGUAAAGCGCACGUAGGCGGAUACUUAAGUCAGGGGUGAAAUCCCGGGGCUCAACCCCGGAACUGCCUUUGAUACUGGGUAUCUCGAGUCCGGAAGAGGUGAGUGGAAUUCCGAGUGUAGAGGUGAAAUUCGUAGAUAUUCGGAGGAACACCGGUGGCGAAGGCGGCAUCCUGGACCGACACUGACGCUGAGGAGCGAAAGCCAGGGGAGCAAACGGG